rnacentral:tRNA from 1 species
CGGUGAGUGGUGGAAUGGCAGACACAUCACGCUUAGAACGUGACGCCGAAAGGUGUGAGAGUUCGAGUCUCUCCUUACCGACCA